rnacentral:rRNA from 1 species
CCUACGGGUGGCAGCAGUGAGGAAUAUUGGUCAAUGGGCGCGAGCCUGAACCAGCCAAGCAGCGUGAAGGAUGACUGCCCUACGGGUUGUAAACUUCUUUUAUAAAGGAAUAAAGUGAGGCACGUGUGCCUUUUUGAAAGUACCUUAUGAAUAAGGAUCGGCUAACUCCGUGCCAGCAGCCGCGGUAAUACGGAGGAUUCGAGCGUUAUCCGGAUUUAUUGGGUUUAAAGGGUGCGUAGGUGGGUGGUUAAGUCAGUUGUGAAAGUUUGCGGCUCAACCGUGAAAUUGCAUUUGAUACUGGCAGCCUAGAGAACAGUUGAGGUAGGCGGAAUGCGUGGUGUAGCGGUGAAAUGCUUAGAUAUCACGAAGAACUCCGAUUGCGAAGGCAGCCUACUAAGCUGCCACUGACGUUGAUGCUCGAAAGUGUGGGUAUCAAACAGGAUUAGAUACCCGGGUAGUC